AUGUCUGUGAUAAAGAACCAGUCUGUUGUUCUUCCAAAGAAUGCCAUGCCAAAUGCACUGGGUAUGGGGGGGAUAUUAUCCAAAACAAUAGGAUUAAGGGCCUGGACAAUGUCCACCCCCAAACAGGCUGGUAUGUGGGGUGGGCUGGGGUGGGGUGGGCUGGGGUGGCCUGAGGUGGGGUGGGCCGGGACGAUAGGGGAGGGAGGGGUGGGAGGCAAGAUUAUGAGAGCACAAAAGCUGUCGCUACAGAAGCCCCUACAGGCCCUAAACAAUCCUCCACCCACAAACCGGGCUUCCAAUCUGCCCAUCAGAUGGUGUCCAUUGAUGUCACAUGGGUUGAGUCUGAGCUUACCAAUGGCUUCUCAUCUCACAAUCAAACAGAGCGGUAUUUGGGGGUGGGGAAGGAGCAGGGUGGGGACAUGGAGGAGAGCUGCUGGAAUCACCAGGCAACCAGGCCUGAGGAGGCAACACAAAAAAACACACAGAAAGAUUGCCACCUCGAAGCUCUGCCGUUCUGCUGCACAGAAGUCAUGGGAAAAGCAAAUCAUGCGCUGUGCCAGACUCUCCCAUACCAUAUCCAUGACAGAGACAAUAGACUCUCUCACUAGACACAAUGAAAAUGAGCCUUUACGAACCAGAAAUGACUAUACAAUGAAUAUCUUAACAAAUACAACUUCCCAACAGCUCGUAUUCUGUUCCAUUUACUCUAUCCAGGGACAAUGUGUCCUUAAAGAUGGAAUAAACAGCAAGCAGAGACGCACAAUACUUAGGCCCAACACAAACCACAGCAUCCAGAUAGAGCUGGAUGUACUGCACAGGACCUGCUUGUCAGAGUCAGAGCCACAGGCAGCUGCUCUACACAAACUGACAGCAAACACAGAGCAACAACAGAACUGCCUGCUGGAAGAAGGCCUUCGCACACGCAUAACACUCUGUACGGAAAUGCCUUCUGUCAGCACUGAGCAGCACAUCCCCAGCCAAAAACUCACUCCCCCUCAAAACACUGAGCACACUAGCAGCAACUCACGUUAA
rnacentral:lncRNA from 13 species